UGGAAAUAAAGAGAAAAAUUUCUGAAAUUCUCUGAUUCCACUGAAAAAUCAGUGAAGGACAUUGCAAGCCAGAAUAAGAUCCAGUACAUUAAAAUUUUCAGUUCAUACAUACACCAAAAUCCAUCCAAAUAAAAUCAGAAAUUCUCUGAAUUUUUAGUGUACCACAUACACCACUAGUAUGCAAAUAACUUAACUAAUUACUUUGAGCUGAAAAAUAAGUCAACUAAUAAGGACCACCUCCAGCACAGAAACUUCCUACCUGACCAAAGAAUCACCGCCAGACUCAAUAUCAAUCACCUCUACUGUCUUGGUGGAAUCAUCAUUGGAAUUGUUCUCUCUUGCAGAAGAGGGGUCAUUUUCAAUAUUUUCACAUAUACACGUAGCCCGGUUGUCAUAGAAUCGCCUCUUUCCAGCACGACUUCCAUGGCAUCUCCCGUAGGUCCUUUCUGAAUUACUUGCACCUGUGCCCAGCAUUCAUCCCAUGACAUAUCUCCCCUGUUUAUAAAUAAGCUGUAGAGUUGUUUAACAUUUUCUUGUGGCCAAUAUAUCUCGUGCGAAAAACAGUUUCAUAAUUUAGAAUGAACUAAGACGAGCACGAAUGUAUAUAGUGAACAAGGAUGUGCAACAACAAGUAUUCUGUCCAUGUUGCAAUUAUUUUCAGAAUCAGUUCCAUCAUAGAUAAAAUCAAUUGAAGUCACGAGAGAUGAGUAUGAAACACAUAAUGCAAACCGACUAAGAUAACCGAAGAUCACAUCGUAACUAACGUAAGAAGCAAAUGGGCAUUUGACUACUAUAAAUCAGAGCAAAAGUGUCAGGGGCAUGCUUGCCUUGGGAGUUCAGCAGACACCUCUCCAUAGAGGUUACUUUGCUUGGCACUGCCCUCGCCGUAAGCCCGUCACGGGAUCGGUAACUGCUUGUACGAGUACUAGUAAUAACACCAAGAAUCAUCAUAGCAUUCCGCUACAUUACAUUCAGAAGGAAAGAAUUAUUGCAUUAAUGCAUAAGCCAUUUAGAGCGGCACUGACUACUUCUGUACCAACCAUGCCAAUCGAGAUUGAGAGAUUUAGGGAACUCGAAUCCAGAUAUGAACUGCAAACCUGCGUUUCCAUCCUCCAGCCGACUGAUAUGAACUAGAAUUGCACAGAGAUACAGCUCCCUGGAUCAACACCUGCGUUUCUAUCCACCACCCAGUGGUUAUGUACAAGACUUUGAAUCGCCAUGGCCGGACUUGGGGUGCAUCAGUUGUUCGUAUGUCAGGAGAAAUCAGAACGGAUGAACUAGGAGUACCAUCCACCACAUUGGAUCUUGGAAAAGGAUUCGGCAUAACAGAUCAGAUGAGAACCGAGGUAUAUUCACAUUAGUUCAUAUGGAGAAUGGCGACGAACUAACCUGGAACUUGAAUCGAGAUCCAGAUCAGCAGCGAUAGAUUCGAUAAUAUCGAUUCCAGGAGUGCGACGGGAUUUGCUAUUCCUCCCAUAAGAGGUCCACGGCCGCGGCGUAGUUCGAUGAUUCCUUGAUCCUUAUUGCCUCCGCGAGGCUCCAUGGAUUCCAUUGACAGCUAGUGAGAGGGCGCGCGGCCGGAUUGUGUUACGAGAGGGUGGAAGUGGUGAGACAGCUAUGGAUUUGUUUGAUGGGAGGUGGAAGGAGG
rnacentral:lncRNA from 1 species